rnacentral:rRNA from 1 species
CUACGGGUUGCAGCAGUGAGGAAUAUUGCACAAUGGGGGGAACCCUGAUGCAGCAACGCCGCGUGGAGGAUGACGCAUUUCGGUGUGUAAACUCCUUUUAUAUGUCAAGAAAAUGACGGUAGCAUAUGAAUAAGCACCGGCUAACUCCGUGCCAGCAGCCGCGAUAAUACGGAGGGUGCAAGCGUUACUCGGAAUCACUGGGCGUAAAGGACGCGUAGGCGGGUUGGAAAGUCAGGUGUGAAAUCCUACAGCUUAACUGUAGAACUGCACUUGAAACUUCUAAUCUAGAGUAUGGGAGGGGGAGAUGGUAUUAGUGGUGUAGGGGUAAAAUCCGUAGAUAUCACUAGGAAUACCUAAAGCGAAGGCGAUCUCCUGGAACAUUACUGACGCUAAGGCGUGAAAGCGUGGGGAGCAAACAGGAUUAGAUACCCGUGUAGUC